GCGUUUAAUCUCACUUCACUUUCUUUCUUCCUGCUUUUCCUUUUACGCUUCCCAGUUUUCCCGCCUCCCUUUGGCUGCACCUCCCCUUCUCUCUUCCAGUUGCCCUGGUUUCUCAGCUUCCUGCUCCUGUCACAACCCUUUCCCCACUUCCUAUUCCACUCCUUUGUUUCUCCCUCUCUUCUCUGCUAUCUUCUGUCUCUCCAUCUCCUCAGGUCCUGGCUGAGGAUCCUUGGUUCCUCUAAUAUUAUCCAAUCAGUAAUAUCUUAAGGGGGCAUUUCCUGGUGUAUGGCCCAUCCUCUUACAGCCAUACAAGGUAAGAGUGGAAUGUCUCAGCUUCAUAAGAGCGAGACGCUGGGAGGAGAGGGCGACCCAUUCUGAUGAGCAGUCGUGCCACGAGCUCCCACUUAAUGUGGAAAAAAUCGUAACUUUAGGGAAUUUUAAAGGAAGCCAGAUACGUUUGUGACCUCAUCACCAGCAGCUACCAAACAAGAGACACAACCAAAGUAAAGGGCAGUUAAUUCCUUUCACCAGGCAACGCUGAGCACCCGGCGAGUGAAGAUGAAAAGCAGAGUCCUCUCAUCAGCCCAGCGGCGCCGCAGCUCGCCGACCUGCAGCAGAGAGUCAGGACACUGCUUUGUUGUGGUAAGUGAGAAAAGAUGGAAGAGGAGAAUAUGUGGAAGCAACAUCCUGGGUAAGAGCAUUCCUCAUAUAUUCCCAGUUUAGCUGUUAAUAAAGUUUAUGGAGAAGUACAAACGAGAACAACACGUUUCAUUAAAUCCAUCUGAUAAAGAUUCAUGCAUUUAAUGAAGCGCUGCUUACUUUCACUCAGUUACCUUGUUCUCUCUCUGAGUGUUGGGCCGUAAUACAGGAGAGCUUUCAUCUGCUUAAUCACACUGACAGCUGCAGACUGACUUUAUCCAUUGCAGGUUAGCAGUUUGCUUUUCUUUGUAAGGCAGGGUCACAGCAGCAGCACGGUGGGCGCGCUGACACCAUGAGCCCGUGCUGCUGCCGCCCCUGUGAGGUCCGUGACGGACGUGAGAAAGUGUGCAGGCAGAGAGAGAGGGAGGAAAUGCUGUAUUUAUUUCCCAAGGAGUCAAAAUUCUUAAGGGCAGUUAGGAGGACAUUCACAUAACCCCCUGUACACACUCAGACUCUCACACAAGUUCCCUGUGGGACCAAAGAGCAGCGAUUCCCAGGACAAUUUUCACAUGGAAGGCGAGGGGGUUCGUGGUGAUGCUGUUGGUGUGGGAGUGGGUCUGUGAAGUGGGAAGCCAGAGUCUGUUCACACAGAUUUUCGAUGCUUCUCUGCAUUUGUUACCCGUUUGCCGCGCAGCAAUACAUCCCAUAAUUAUCAGACGUUUCGUGAGGCAGCACUUUGUGCUUUUUAUACUUUUCGCUCUUCAUUCGUCUUCACACAAAUGUCACACUUUGAGUCUUUUGAUCCUAAUGUGUAAAAAGCCGCUCGAGCGGCCGCGUGUUCGCCUCAGGUGUCUGUGGUGCUGACGCCGCGUCGGCUGCUGUAACGUCUUUUCCUGCCUGCACACAAAACGGGAAAGUCAGAUGGGGUCAUGUGACUCUGCAGAGCCCACACAAACGUUUAGAUUAAAUACUUGUAGAUAUUUACAGUGUUUAACGUCCUGCCAUGUUUUUAGCUGAUAUUUGUCCGAAGUGGUUUAGGUAGUUGUUUCUUCUCGUUCAGGUUCCUGUUCUCAGGGUGGGAGGCUGAAGAAACCACGACUCCUUCGUAUGGUUGCUUUCCCUGAUUCUUCCCUAAUUAGAGGCCACACUGUCAGCUGAUCAGGACCCAGCUCGCCUCGGUGCUCACAUGCACAUGACCAUUUUUGGUAGUAAUGAUGAUUUAAGCUUCUUUUAUGGCUCCUGCUGCUUUUGCAGAAGCCGUGACUUUGUUUACCAUUUCAUUGGCUACACGAGGCUGUCCUGCAGCUUUUAUUUGAAAAAAGAUGAAUUCCACAAACAUAGGUGUCACCUGUCAGUGAGAGAGGGGGGGCACUCGAGUAAGGAUGUGACAGAUGGGGAGAGGGGCUUCCUGUGUGUGAUUUAGGGAGCCAGGGGGAAGAGAAAGAAGACCAUAUUUGGCAAUGUUUGUCUUAGCAUAAGACACGGCUCUGACUGUUAUCACACUCUGUCUAAACACACACAGAUUCCCAGCAGCUAAACGUCACUGAUUACAGACGAGCUUCAUUAACAUGUAAUGAUUAGUUCAGACUGGGUCGCUGCUGUAAAGAUGUUAUUCAUCAUGCUCUUAUAUUCAGAGAUUAUUGGGCUUUUUUUAGCAACAGCAAACUGCAAAACCACCGCUGCUCCCCACAGGAGGAAAUGUUCAGUUUAUCAGGAGAAACUUUAUUUCUGUCAUUUAAAUGCAAAGUGCACCAAAAUGUAUUUGAAUCCUGGGAGCUGCAGGUUUUGUUUUCUCUCGUUUCUAUUAGAAACCCGCAGGACACAAUAUUGGCUUCAUAGACCAUGUGAGCGCACAAACUGCACGUGGAAAAAUGUCUUUGCAACGUUGUUUUGAUGUGAAUGCAUUUGUGGAGAACGUCUCUUCAGAUAUGAGCCACUCUGGGACUGUGGCCUUUCUCACACACAGCCAGCCACUGUGUGUGAGAAAGGCAAACAGCUGGGUUUUCUUCUUAAUAUGGUCGUGCUGAGCCAAACGCACACGGAGCAGGACCGAGUGAGAUAAAGACCUCCUCUCUCUGCUGCCUUUUAAGUGAGUCUUUUACUGGUGUGACUAGAAAAGGGAAUGUUGCUGCCGAAGGAGGAGGUGCGGGUGAAGGUUGGGGGGGGGGGGGGGUCACAUACUAUCAGUGGGAGCGAUCGCAGACUGGAAGAGGGAAUGUUUAUCCAAAGCAGUGAUCCCAUUUUCCAUGAUCCUCAAAAUAAGAGACUUGCCUUAUAUGGUCAGACUGGGAGUUUCCAGCUGAGCAGAGUCAGAACGUUUGUGGAAAACACCCGGCCUCUGCUUCUCCCAUUGCCUUAAGUGUCUCAGUCUGCUGCACCUUCCUUUGAUGGAUGAACAGCUCGGAAAAAGGAAUUCUAUGAAUAAUCACUGCUUAGUAGUUCUCCCAGAUGGAUCCGGAGUAACGUGCCGGUCCAUCCCGAGCCUUCGGGAGAGUUUUAGCUCUCAUCCAAACUGUGGGCGAGAUGAACAGCUUUCUGAGACUGGCCCAAACAGCAGCGGCAUGUUCCCGUGUCACAGACCAGGACCAGGCCACAGCAGAAUCCAUGUUUGAGUGCACUCCUCGCUUACUGAGACGGCCGUUGUAAAGGGCGUCUUCUGUUUCUACUCGUGUAUGUUGCAGAUGUCUUUCAGGUGUUUCAGGUGCACAAAACUCCAAAACCUGAGACGAUGUGUGUGACUGCGUGCACACAGAAGCUGAACCAGCACGGGACACCGGUGCACGGCUACCAAAUCAAAUCAUCUGUGGCUCGAUUAUGCCUGCAGAAAUGUUUGAACUCUGCACUUCAUUUUCCUUCCAUCCCUGCGGCCCAUGGUGCAGUGCUGCAUCUCUGGUCAGUUGGUAGUCUGAGAUGAAGCACUGUAGCUCGGGACGGAGGGCGCAAAUACCAAUUUAAACAUAUCCACCACCAGGACACGUAGCCCAGCAGCAGGUCUCCACAGACCUCCUGCUGGAAUAGGAAAAAAUCCCGGAUCCUGUGAAAGGAGGCAGCUGCAGGCAUGGCUUGGAUUUUAGGUGACUGGACUAUUAAAUUGAAUUUAUAACUAUUCCAGUUCUAACAAUGCUGCUUUGUCCCAUUUCAAGAACAAACGAAAUUGGAAACAAGCUGAGAACAAACUGUACCUUCCUCUUCUCCUCUCUCCUGGGGUCCAGUUUUCCCAGGAAUCCCUUGACCUAUCAGAAAGGGGGAUUCCUGGAAAUACUGUUCUUGGGGGUGGGGCUUAUCAGCAAUCCUUUAUGCUUUAACUGUAUAAUAAAACGGAUUAUUUGCACUGACUGACUUUUGAAUUCAUGUAUUUUUAAACACAAGAGAAACCAAAGUGAGGAGCGGCUGUAAUGUUACCGUGAUGGAGAAAUAUUUACUGUCACACGUCGUUAGGUGAAGAUGGAAGAAUAACUGGUUUUACGUUUUAUUUAAAAAGAUUUCAUCCUGAACAUGCAGCGUUUUUGUGUGUGUGUCAUGAUCCCGCCUGUGCUGCAGUACUAUGUUGUUCGUCUGUUCAGAAACAAUAAAGAAAAGUCCUCGUGACUGUUCCAA